GAUAAACGCUGGCGGCGUGCCUUAUGCAUGCAAGUCGUACGAUUUUUUCCGCAAGGGAAAGAUAGUGGCAGACGGGUGAGUAAUACGUAAGUGACCUGCCUUCCAGUGGGGAACAACCUCGGGAAACUGGGGCUAAUACCGCAUGAUGCGCUGAGGGUAGUGCUUCGGCGCCAAAGCCGCAAGGCGCUGGGAGAUGGGCUUGCGUCCUAUCAGGUAGUUGGCAGGGUAACGGCCUACCAAGCCGAUGACGGGUAGCUGGUCUGAGAGGAUAUACAGCCACACUGGGACUGAGAUACGGCCCAGACUCCUACGGGUGGCUG
rnacentral:rRNA from 1 species